GUUUUAAUAAUUUAUUAUAAAAUAUUGGUCUUGUAAAUCAAAAAAAAGGUAUCCUUUUAAAACU
rnacentral:tRNA from 1 species